rnacentral:rRNA from 1 species
UACGGAGGGGGCUAGCGUUGUUCGGAAUUACUGGGCGUAAAGCGCACGUAGGCGGACUGUUUAGUCAGGGGUGAAAUCCCGAGGCUCAACCUCGGAAUUGCCUCUGAUACUGGCAGUCUCGAGUCCGGAAGAGGUGAGUGGAAUUCCGAGUGUAGAGGUGAAAUUCGUAGAUAUUCGGAGGAACACCAGUGGCGAAGGCGGCUCACUGGUCCGGUACUGACGCUGAGGUGCGAAAGCGUGGGGAG